CAGUAGCCGCGGUAAUACGGAGGGUGCAAGCGUUAAUCGGAAUUACUGGGCGUAAAGCGCACGCAGGCGGUCUGACAAGUCAGAUGUGAAAUCCCCGGGCUUAACCUGGGAACUGCAUUUGAAACUGUCAGGCUGGAGUCUUGUAGAGGGGGGUAGAAUUCCAGGUGUAGCGGUGAAAUGCGUAGAGAUCUGGAGGAAUACCGAUGGCGAAGGCAGCCAUCUGGCCUAAUACUGACGCUGAGGUACGAAAGCAUGGGGAGCAAACAGGAUUAGAUACCCCAGUAGUCCCUGUCUCUUAUAC
rnacentral:rRNA from 1 species